GACAGAGGAUGCAAGCGUUAUCCGGAAUGAUUGGGCGUAAAGCGUCUGUAGGUGGUUCAAUAAGUCAACUGUUAAAUCUUGAGGCUCAACUUCAAAAAUCGCAGUCGAAACUAUUGGACUCGAGUAUAGUAGGGGUAAAGGGAAUUUCCAGUGGAGCGGUGAAAUGCGUAGAGAUUGGAAAGAACACCAAUGGCGAAGGCGGCACUCUGGGACGGUACUGACGCUGAGACGCGAAAGCGUGGGGAGCGAACAGG
rnacentral:rRNA from 1 species